ensembl:lncRNA
AUGAACGGAGCCCUGGUGGCCGCCUCCUCCUCCUUCUUCUCCUCCUCCUCCUCCUUCUUCUUCUUCUUCUUCUUCUUCUGUCCGCUCCCCCCCCCCACCACCUGCUUUACUUCCGAGUCGCGCCGACGUGCCGUUUCUGUCCCGAGCCGCCGCGUCCCUCGCGUCUUAUACCCGCAGCCCGCCGGACGCCCCGCCCCCUUCCCGGAAACCACUUUCGAUUCCUCGAACAGCUCGACUCGCCGACAGAUUUUGGUGAAUCGCGUCUGCUCGCCGAAUCCGAGCGGAAUCCGCGGAGCCCGAAGGCCGAAGCCCGACUCCCGCCGGAUCGCCGCCGCCGCCGGAACGCGGUUUUUGGCGCGGUGGCGCUGGCUUCAUGGCGGGAGCCGCGUGGAAAUGAAACCCACGGGAGAAACCGCGAGUCCGCGGCUGGGGAGAGAUGGGUUUCGGUUCUGGAAGCGCAGCCUCGUCCUCUCGGGAAUGACAUUUUUUCUCCCACGUUGCUCCAAUUUCCAAAAACGAAUUAGAAACAAAUGUGCAGACGCGGCCGCACAUGUGGCGGUAAGUUUGUAUGCAUGACACACACUUUCUGUAUACACUUCAGUCUUAAAUUCAAUAUCGAUCAUUCAGAAAACCACUUGCAUGCACUUAUGAAACGAUGACACGGUUGGGUCAUGUUACAACUGUCUCCGCUUCGUAAACCUAGAGAUCAGAUGAAGAGCCAUGCUUUUCUUUUGACUGAAGCUUGCUUUCAUUUUUGACGGUUCUCAGAAAAGGCUCCCUCUUCCCCUCCGUUGGGAAGAAUGGGGCAAGUGGGAUUGCUGGUGUAAUCAGAGAGUCAGAUGGAAACAAAGAGGAGUGUGUCAGGAUGAAUGGAAAUGGCUCCGCGUGCCACAUAUUAAAGCGUUGUUUCAAUGUGCAGAGCUCCAUUUAUUAACCGAGCUUCUGGGAAAGCGAAAGUUAGAGCUUGCACAUGCUUACAGCAGGUGGCGGCAUUCUCAUCAUUUCUGCCCGGUUCCUUUCAGUUUCAACACGGUAAAGAUGUCCAUAGGUUCCUCAACCUCUGCCAUGAAUGAAGAAAUGAAAGUGAUGAAAUACAGGGUACUUAUCUCUAUUACUUUUACAUGGUGUAUUCACACCCCCUACGUAAACACGGCUGGAGCAUCUCCACCCACCCCACUUUCUGUAGAUACAGCUUGUCCAUACAGGCCUCAGGACUGAAAUAAUACUGGCUCCUGAUGUUGCACUGCCGUUCUUGCACUAAAUUAACAAACGAUGUGUACACACCGUAAAAAGGCCUCUGCACACACCUCACAUGACCUCUUCUCCCGCCGGGUACCGGAGCAUCCGGGGCCCUCACUGCCAGACUUCCAGCUUCCUCCCACAGGCCAGCAGACACAUCAGAACACUAAAGUAAAGAUAAAGUGAAGUGAUUGUCACUUGUGAUACACAGCAGCACAGCACACGGUGCACACAGUGAAAUUUGUCCUGAGUGGCACCUUGGCGGAUCGGGAUUCGAACCUUCUGAUUAUGGGGCCGCUUCCUCAACCGCUAGGCCACCACUGCCCCAUUCUCCACUCUGAACUGACAAACACACUCUACCUCAUAUGUUCAGGACAUGUAUCUAUUUCUAUUACGGCGGUAUUUGCACAUUGUUACUCUGACUUGUGUCACUGGUUUGUAGUGCCGUCUGUUAUUGCUACUCUGUUGUUUUUGCACUGUUUGUCCUGCACUGCUUGCACUUUAUGUUGCACACUUGCACUUUAUGUGAGUAUGUAGCACCAAGUUCCCGAGAAACGUUGUUUCAUUUCACUAUGC